rnacentral:rRNA from 1 species
GAUGAACGCUGGCGGCGUGCCUAAUACAUGCAAGUCGAGCGAACAGACGAGGAGCUUGCUCCUCUGACGUUAGCGGCGGACGGGUGAGUAACACGUGGAUAACCUACCUAUAAGACUGGGAUAACUUCGGGAAACCGGAGCUAAUACCGGAUAAUAUAUUGAACCGCAUGGUUCAAUAGUGAAAGACGGUUUUGCUGUCACUUAUAGAUGGAUCCGCGCCGCAUUAGCUAGUUGGUAAGGUAACGGCUUACCAAGGCAACGAUGCGUAGCCGACCUGAGAGGGGGAGUCGACAAAGUGGAACUGAGAAAAGGGACAGAAUCCGAAGGGGGGCAGCAGGAGGGAAUACUACGGAAGGGGCGAAAGGCUUAAGGAGGAAAGCCGGGGGAAGGAAGAAGGUCUUAGGAUUGGAAAACUAUGGUAAUAGGGAAAAAAAAAAGGGGAAGUAAACAGGGAAGUCAUGAAGGGAACCAAUGAGAAAGGAACGGCGAACUACGUG